AUUAAAAUUAACAAAUAUUAAUAAUAAUUGCAUCAUUUUUACUAAUAAUUAUAAAUGAUUCAAUAUAAAAACCUAGAAAUGGUUAAAUAACAAAUCUUAAAUAUUAAUGACCCGCUAAAUUUUAAUUCUUUCAACAUUUGUUGACUUCAUUUCAAUGCUAAUACGAUACUUAUGAAUUAAAGAAUUAAAUCAAUUAAGCAUUCUAUGUUGAAUUAUGGAAUUACUGAAACAAUGGAAUUAGUUUGCAUAGAUGAUAAUAUAUUACAUUUACGAAAGUUGCGCAUAACAAAAUUUUAUUUGCUUCAAGAUAAAAAAAAAAAAAAAUUCUUUAAGAAAAAAUGAGCAUAAUGUGAAUAUAUUUUCAUAGAGGUGCUAAUAUUUUAAUUAAAACGGAGAGGAACGAGAAAUUAGAAUUAAUUAAAUGAGUCGUUCGUGGGAAAAAAAUUGUUAUAUCGUCGAUAUUACCUUUCCUUGCUAUAAAGGAGACACAUCUCGCGAUGCACGAGCUUUGUGACGCCUCGUCUCCGAAAUUCUCCAAGUUCUUGACGGAGUUUAAUUAAACAUUCCGCCCGUCAGGAAUUUUGUGGUCAUCUCUCUCUGUACAGAAACUCCUUCUAAUGGAUUCUGCUCCUUGAAUCUCGAUACGUCGUGUCGAUACGUCGUGUCCCAGACUAUAUAUUUUUCUUUUAAAAAUUUCGAAUCUUUAAAGAUUCAAAAUUUUUGUUUACGACCUUUGGAAUUUUUUAUUUCUUACGCUGUAUUUUGGGAUCGGGAAAAAUGAAUUUAAAAAAGCGAAAGAAAGAGAAAUUCGAACGAGCAUUUCGUCAAAAUACAGGAUUAAGAAUAAAUGGAUCUUUAUUGAUAUUUUUGAGACUAGUUAAUCCAAGACAGAAUAUUCAAAAUCUGAAUAUCCAAAGAACGAAGAAGCUAUUGGCAUUGUAUACUUAAAAAAAAUUUCAAGAUAAAUUGAUGAUAAAUUAUAAUCAUUUUUACACCAGAUAAUUAACUGAUAAUUAAGGAUUUUAUAUGUUCUUUCAUGAAUAUUCACAUAAAUAUAUGUGAAUUUAUAAUAUAUAAAAGGAAUGGAUCAUUCUUAAUGAAUAACGCAACUGUAUAAUUAUUUCUUUUUGAACCAAUGAUUUAAUUAUUAUCGAAAGAUUCGACCAUUAAAAAGAAGAAGAAAGAAGGAGCUCGAUGACUUGAUUCAAAUGAAUUUCAAUACCUAAGUUAGGUUUCAAGUGUCACUGAGGGCUAUCGAGCGAAAUAUCACGAGGGAUACGACGGUUGAACGGCCAUUUGAAUACACUCGAACGAGUUGUUCAUCAAUAAAUACUAAAACCAUUGCUGUUCCAAACUAUUGCUGCUCGAUAAAACAACAACCACACUAUGAAUGGACUUUCGAGUCUUUGAAGGCCGUUGAAGUGCACGGAAUAAUAAAGAAGAUCGAAUACUCAAUGAAAAUCACAUUGAAGCGAUUUUAAAAAAAAAACUUGGAGGAGGGAAGAAUCUUUUUUUUGCUGGAAAACACAACCCUCGUCGCGUUUAAUUAGAAACGAUGUUUCAGCGUGUUUGCAAUUGAACCGUCUGUAAUAAGGGUUGUAGAAAAAACGAGCGGAAAGGAAAUUCUGCGGCCAGGAAAUUAAUUAACGUAUUAAUCGAGUAAUUGGCCUCAUCCCCGGAACUACCCUCGUGGUAGAACUUUCUUUUAUAAGGGUAAUUAAUCUACCGAGAAGUUUGUAAAAAAAAAAAAAAAAAAAGAAAAAGAAAACUUUUCCGUUAGGAUUUUAUGGAGCGUUGAUUCGAAAAUGAUUGCACAAAUAGAAAGGUGGACUGGAUUCGAGUCGCAUUACUUUUUAAAUAUCUACGACGUUUCCUCGUCUCUCCCUAAUGGUUAAUUACUUUCCUCUUGUUACUUUGACUAACAAGGUUGUCCAAAGAAGUUUCCAGUUGUUGAGUUAUUAAACAGCUUCAACUGCGAGAGAGAGAGAGAGAGAAAAAAAUGAUAAUUUCAUAUUAAUGAACUGGAUGAAUGGAAUUAUUAUAAUAUUUUUUCGUCAAAAAAAACAAGAUGCAUCUGUUAGUCUAAUUGGAAACACGCGUGAAAGAAGAAGAAGAAGAAGAAAAAACAAGAAGGUGAUGAUGCUGACAAGGAAAAAAGAGGCACGGUUUUGAUUAUUGUUAUUUACGCAUUUAUUACAAGAGAACGAAACGUUUCAUUUGGUCCGAAAAUCAGGGAUGAGUUUUACGAAAAGAUGCGUCUCGUGUACGUUCACGCGCGUUAUGUUUUUUUUUUUCUUUGUUUUCAUGCGCUUUCAUUAUUACAGUUAUUAACAAUGUUUCAACGUUGAGCAACGUUGUGCGUUAAUGUUGCAGGCGUUUCGAAUAAUUUGAAUACAAGAUUCGAGAGAGCGUGUCGAUAUUUUUUUUUUUUUUUACGUUUGUUUAAAAAAACAAGUCGAGUCGACAAUUUAGAAUUACGAUGACAGGAAAUGAAA